rnacentral:misc_RNA from 1 species
AACGCACAUUGCGCCCUUUGGUAUUCCUUAGGGCAUGCCUGUUCGAGCGUCAUUUAACCCCUCAAGCUCAGCUUGGUGUUGGGCGCCUGUCCCCCCCCCGGGGAGACUCGCCUCAAAUGCAUUGGCAGCCGGUACGUUGGCUUCGAGCGCAGCAGAAAAGCGCGCGGCGUCUGACGGUAGCGGCUCUCCAGCAAGCCACCCAUCCAUUUUGACCUCGGAUCAGGUAGGGAUACCCGCUGAACUUAA